rnacentral:misc_RNA from 1 species
AAAGUCGUAACAAGGUUUCCGUAGGUGAACCUGCGGAAGGAUCAUUACCGAAUGAAUGGCCUGCACCCCGCUGUGUGCGUGGGUGCUCGUUGUUGCCUCUUGAUCUUGAUCUUGGUGCUCGCCAGUCACUCUCUCCGGGCCACGUGUUGUGGACUCUCUCUCUCUCAGAGCCACAUGUUGUGUGGGGUCUCCGAGCCACACGUUGUGUGGAGUAUCCCAGACACAACCUUGUGUGGACUCUCCCAGACACAACCUUUGUGUGGACCGGAGCCACACCUUGUGUGGAGUCUCCCAGGACGCAACGUUGUGUGGACUCUGCGAGCCACAUGUUGUGGACCUGCAUGAGAUUGUUGGGGGGUGCCCUCUUCAAGAUGUCACACACAAACUUGUCUUUGUAUGGUAUUGAACUUUGAACAUAUAAUAUAACUUUCAACAACGGAUCUCUUGGCUCUC